UUUCCGGUUGAUCCUGCCGGACCUGACUGCUAUCGGAUUGAUACUAAGCCAUGCGAGUCUUUGUAGUAAUACAAGGCAGACGGCUCAGUAACACGUAGUCAACCUACCCUAUGGACAAGAAUAAUCUCGGGAAACUGGGCAUAAUUCUUGAUAGAUCAUAAUGCCUGGAAUGGUUUAUGGUUAAAAUGAUUCGUCGCCAUAGGAUGGGACUGCGGCCUAUCAGCUUGUUGGUGAGGUAAUGGCCCACCAAGGCGAUUACAGGUACGGGCUCUGAGAGGAGAAGCCCGGAGAUGGGUACUGAGACACGGACCCAGGCCCUAUGGGGCGCAGCAGGCGAGAAAACUUUGCAAUGUGCGAAAGCACGACAAGGUUAAUCCGAGUGAUUUCUGCUAAAGAAAUCUUUUGCCAGUCAUAAAACCACUGGUGAAUAAGGGGUGGGCAAGUUCUGGUGUCAGCCGCCGCGGUAAAACCAGCACCUCAAGUGGUCAGGAUGAUUAUUGGGCCUAAAGCAUCCGUAGCCGGCUUUGUUAGUUUUCGGUUAAAUCCAUGUGCUCAACGCAUGGGCUGCCGAAAAUACUGCAUGGCUAGGGAGUGGGAGAGGUAGACGGUACUCAGUAGGAAGGGGUAAAAUCCUUUGAUCUAUUGAUGACCACCUGUGGCGAAGGCGGUCUACCAGAACACGUUCGACGGUGAGGGAUGAAAGCUGGGGGAGCAAACCGGAUUAGAUACCCGGGUAGUCCCAGCUGUAAACGAUGCAGACUCGAUGAUGCAUUGGCAUAAUAGCCAGUGCAGUGUCGCAGGGAAGCCGUUAAGUCUGCCGCCUGGGAAGUACGUACGCAAGUAUGAAACUUAAAGGAAUUGGCGGGGGAGCACCACAAGGGGUGAAGCCUGCGGUUCAAUUGGAUUCAACGCCGGA
rnacentral:rRNA from 1 species